AUCAGAUCCCCCUCCUGGGAAGAAGUUGUACAGCCUUCUUGUUAAAAAGAAGCAUGCUGUCGUCCCAAUUGUAUGAGCAGCUGAAAUAAGUAACAUUAGAAGUAAGACUUCUCAGCGAAAAGAAGAAAAGAAAGGAACGGAUGGAGAAGAAGAAAAAAAAAAGGGAAUAAAAGUAUGGAAAGCAAAGGCAUACGAGGGAGAAAGAAAUCAGAAAAGGAGGGAUCCAAAGCGUGAGAGAGGAAAGGAGUAAGCUGCCCUUGCAGCUUUGAGAAGGUCAGAAAAGAGAUAUAAAAAAAUAUAGAAAGAAAGGAGAGGUCAGAGAGGAUAGAGAGACGGGCAGAGGUCAGAAACAAGAAAGAAAAAUAUAAAAAAGGCAGGAAGCUGCCUUAGCAGCGGGAAAAAGAGAAGAGAGGGAAGGCAGCAACAGAGGGGGACAGGCGCAGAAAAUAAAGAGGAUAGGCGCGGAAAAGAACAGCUGCCUGGCAGCUAGUUGGUCAGAGGCUGCACAGAGCAGAAGCACAGAGGCAGAGAGCAAGCUUCUCCUCUUUCGGUUAAAACUUUUCAACUUAUAUUUUACUUUUGGUUAAAUGUUUUAAUAAUGUGUAACUAAUUUUAUUUUGGCUAGAGAUUAAUUCGAAACCAUGAAUAUAUUUGUAAUAUGAAUUGAUUACCUUCAGUUGUGA